rnacentral:rRNA from 1 species
CAGUAGCCGCGGGAAUACAGAGGGUGCAAGCGUUAAUCGGAAUUACUGGGCGUAAAGCGCGCGUAGGAGGCUUUUUAAGUCGGAUGUGAAAUCCCUGAGCUUAACUUAGGAAUUGCAUUCGAUACUGGGAAGCUAGAGUAUGGGAGAGGAUGGUAGAAUUCCAGGUGUAGCGGUGAAAUGCGUAGAGAUCUGGAGGAAUACCGAUGGCGAAGGCAGCCAUCUGGCCUAAUACUGACGCUGAGGUACGAAAGCAUGGGGAGCAAACAGGAUUAGAUACCCCCGUAGUCCCUGUCUCUUAUAC